rnacentral:pre_miRNA from 13 species
UGGCUUUUAUGUAUUUACGUUGCAUAUGAAAUGAUAUUUAUAGUAAACAGAUUAUUUUAUAUGCAGGUAUACAUGCAACUCCUUCUCAAUG